AUGUUUUGUUCCAUCUUUCUUUGCCUCCCACAUUUGCACCAUUGCUCCACAGUGACACCGACUUGGGAAGUCUGGUGUAAUCCAUUCAUUUUUGUUGCAUGAACUACAAUCUUCUUCCCCGAUUUCAUUUACAAUUCCACUCCAAGAUGAGCUCAUCCUUUCAAUUAAACACUGAAAACCCGAAGAAGAAGAAGAAGGAAGAAUGAGAGAAGAAGAAUGAGAGAAGAACCCUAAUUUUUUCCCCCCAAAUAUCGAGCUCUUUGUUUUUGCUGUUCGAUCUCUUCGAUUUUUG
rnacentral:lncRNA from 1 species